rnacentral:rRNA from 1 species
UACGAAGGGGGCUAGCGUUGCUCGGAAUCACUGGGCGUAAAGCGCACGUAGGCGGCUUUUUAAGUCAGGGGUGAAAUCCUGGAGCUCAACUCCAGAACUGCCUUUGAUACUGAGAAGCUUGAGUCCGGGAGAGGUGAGUGGAACUGCGAGUGUAGAGGUGAAAUUCGUAGAUAUUGGGAAGAACACCGGUGGCGAAGGCGAAUCUCUGGACAGUUACUGACACUGAGGCACGAAGGCCAGGGGAGCAAACGGG